AACGAACGCUGGCGGCAGGCUUAACACAUGCAAGUCGAACGGUUGUAGCAAUACAGCAGUGGCGCACGGGUGAGUAACGCGUGGAUAUCUGCCUUUUGGUUCGGAAUAACUCCGGGAAACUGGAGCUAAUACCGGAUGGUUCCUACGGGAUAAAGAUUUAUCGCCAAAAGAUGAGUCCGCGUACGAUUAGCUAGUUGGCGGGGUAAUGGCCCACCAAGGCGACGAUCGUUAGCUGGUCUGAGAGGACGAUCAGCCACACUGGGACUGAGACACGGCCCAGACUCCUACGGGAGGCAGCAGUGGGGAAUAUUGGACAAUGGGGGCAACCCUGAUCCAGCCAUGCCGCGUGAGUGAUGAAGGCCUUCGGGUUGUAAAGCUCUUUUGGCGGGGACGAUGAUGACGGUACCCGCAGAAUAAGCCCCGGCUAACUUCGUGCCAGCAGCCGCAGUAACAC
rnacentral:rRNA from 1 species